UACGAAGGGGGCUAGCGUUACUCGGAUUGACUGGGCGUAAAGGGCGCGUAGGCGGUUUGUACAGUCAGACGUGAAAUUCCUGGGCUCAACCUGGGGGCUGCGUUUGAUACGUGCAGACUUGAGUUCGGAAGAGGGUCGUGGAAUUCCCAAUGUAGAGGUGAAAUUCGUAGAUAUUGGGAAGAACACCGGUGGCGAAGGCGGCGACCUGGUCCGAUACUGACGCUGAGGCGCGAAAGCGUGGGGAGCAAACAGG
rnacentral:rRNA from 1 species